AAGAACAGUCUCAAUUCAGUGUUUGGACUGCCACGUCGGAUUUUAAUCGUAACUCUGAACUCACCCAUUGUUGCCUCCCCUCUCUGGGUCUGCUUAAGACUGGAGGCCACAGUGGGGAUGAGGCAUUGUGAGUUUCUUCUUCUCCUCCUGUUCCUGCUCAUCUGGUCUCCACGCAGUACCUAUAGUUUGCAUAUGGUGCCAUAUGGGAGAUGAGCUGGGAUAGAAAGCCGAUUUACAGCAUCGCUGAGCAGGAAAAAAGAGAUGGCUGUUGAACAGGAGGCAACAUGCAAUGACAUAAUUAAUUGUUAAUGGAAUUCUAGCCAAAAGGAUGUGGGAGGAGAGGAAGGAGCCACAAAGGGAGAAUCAUGCCUAAGAGUUAACUAUGGUACUCUGAAGCAGAACAGAGACUGGAGGAGAAUAUACAGCCAUGAAAACUACGUACAAUAUGGCGUCUUGAAUUGGAUCCUGGAGCAGACAAUGGGAUUACUGGGAAAACUGGUGAAGACUGGAAAAUAGAAAAAAUAGAGUCUCCAGGGAACUAAAAAUAGAAUUAAUGUACAGUUCAGCAAUCUUGCUGGGUAUCUACUCAAAGGAGAAGAAAUCAUUAUAUUAAAAAAUAGCUGUACUUCUAUGUCUAUUGCAGCAUCAUUCACAAUAGCAAUGAUACGAAAUCAAUCUAAAAUGUCCAUCAGUGGAUGACUGGAUAAAGAAAAUGUGGUAUUUAUGCAUACAGACACAUACACACAUAUACACACACACAAUAGAAUACUGUUGAGCCAUAAAAAAGAAUGAAAUCAUGUUCUUUUGCAGCAACAUGGAUGGUACUUGAGGCCAUUAUUUUAAGUAUAACCGCUCAGAAACAGAAAGUCAAAUACUGCACAUUCUUACUUAUAAGCGGGAGCUAAAUAAUGUGUACACAUUGACAUAGAGUGUGGAAUAAUAGACAUUAGACAAUCAGAAGGGUGAAACGGUGGUAAGAGGGUAAGGGAUUAGAAAUUACUUAAUGGGUACAAUGUACGUUACUCAGGUGAUGCAUACACUAAAAGCCCAGACUUCGCCACUGCACAAUAUAUCAAUGUAACAAAACUGCACUUAUACGCCUUAAAUUUAUACAAAUAAAAAAAUUUAAAAAUAGAG
rnacentral:lncRNA from 10 species